GGUAAGUGCUUUGAUAGAUGUUGAUAUUCUCAUUGAUGCCAUGGAGAUUUUGUAAGUGUAGCAAAACUUAUUAUCUUAGUUGUCUUAAUAGCAUAACUAUCCUGUCAAAUUCUAGAAACUUAUUGUAUCAUUGAUAAGAAAAAAUGUUGAUAUUACUUCUGUGAGGCAGAGAAGGAAGAGUGUAUUAAUCAUUGGUAACUGCAAUGUUAUAACUAGUGUGUUUUUGAAUUCAUCUGACUUUUACCAUUGUCAUUUUUUUUCUAGAUACACCAGAUAUCAUUUCCAAGAAUUGUAUAAUUUGUCAGUGGAAUUGAUUCUGAGAGGUCAUGCUUAUGUUGAUCUCAAGUUAAAUCAAUUUAAUCUUUCUGAUAGAAAUAGAUUCUUGUUUCUUUUUCCAGUUAAUUAUCAUUCUUUAGCUAUACUAGUGCAACUAACUCCACACAUGAAACUUAUUUAUGCUUUCAGAUGCCGAGGAUAUAAGAGAGUACAGAGAGAAGAAAAUGAACAGCCCUGGAGGGACUUGCCUAUUGAAGAAAUGAGAUAAGGAAAGAUAGGAGGGAAAGGCAAGGAUAAAGAAAGGUAUGCAGAGUGACAAUUUUAACAUGUAUGACCUUAUUGGCUAUUGAACAGAGAGGCAAGUGAUAAAAUCAUCUCUGGUUACAUAUAAGAAAUAGACUCUCUUAUCUUUUGGUGUCUGAAUCUUUUAUAUAUAUGCUUUGUAGUUCAACCCUCAUCCUAAGGCUGGUGACUGGUGCAUGCGGUAUGUCCUUUUGUAAGUGCAUGCGGUAUGUCCUUUUGGCUUUUGACCCGCUAUUUUACUUUCAGUAUUAGAAUAUCCCUUCUGUAUCUAAUAAAACUAUCUUUGUGGUUUUGAUCUUUCUUUUAUUUGCGUAAUUGUAGCUAUGUGCUCUUGAAACCUGGCGUGCUUUAUACUACUAACACUCUACGCGUGUAAGGUAAAAUACUCAACUAGCAUGUGACAACUUCGAGCAUUUUAUGCAAUAAUUCAUGUUGGUUGUGGUAUCAUUUUUCUUUUCUUUUGCUGAUUGACUUUGAAUGGGAAGAGGUGUGACUUUAACUGUGAAUAAUACUUUGUUUGGUUAUAUGUCAAUUAUCUUCAUUAUAUUUGCUCUCUAUUGUUGUAUGUUGAAGAGAUGGUAGUAUGAUACAUGUGAGUCGUCUUGAGCAUCAUAUUAGAUAGCAGUUGAAUAAAAUAGCUACUCACACCAUGAUGGUGUCUAAUCCUCACACCAUGAUGGUGUCUAAUCCUCACACCAUGAUGGUGUCUAAUCCCCUUAAGGUGCUCAUCACCAAUUUGGAAUCAAAGUAGACUAGUUUUGUACAAACGAUAGAACAUUUGUCUGUUUUAUUGGGCUGUUAUUCUGUUUUUCUAAGGUAUAGAAAGGAACACUAUUCAUCAUUAUUACUUUCUUUUAAUAUGAUUCAUUGUGCUUUCUACUUUCAGAUACGCUUUCCAGUUAAGUGUAGUAUGCGCUGAGGACGAGGUAUGCAUAUUGUUUUCUAGAUUUUGUUGUAGUUACAAAGAUUGUUCCAUAUAGCUAAAUUCCAUCUAAUAAUAACUGAACCCUGGCACCCUGCUGAACUAAAUGAUUAUUGACUCACUGUCAUAGUGACAUUAACUCGAACUCCAAAGUGGUAGUUUAUGGUGCUUUAGCUGUAUCAACCCUUAAAGAUGAUGUGAUGUGUUCUGGGACAGAUUCCAAUUCGAGAGACUAGGUAUAUUCAGUUUCAAGAUCAUAAAAAGUGUUUGCGUUUCUACAUGAGCAUAUUGUGUGUUUUGAUUAUUUUAUUCUCUAAGUUUGAAUGCUUGUGUAUCAUAAGGUCUUUUAUCCUAUAUGAUGUAUGCAUCUUAGAGUCUCUUAUAGAUAUUUAUUUUGACAUAUUUGUUACUUCUAUAGAUUAUGAUUGUUGUUUCCUUAAAUCUUGAAAGUAUUUGUUCUGUGUUAGGCUCUAAACUUCUGCUGAUUGUUUUAAACAUGUGAAUAUCAUCGUAGAAUUUUGUAUCAUGCAUUGAGAAAAGGUAGAUUUUUCUUUGACUAUGAAACAUUACAUUGUGUGUUCAAAAUACUUACUUUGACUAUGAAACAUUACAUUGUGUGUUUAAAAUACUUAUUGUCUCUGUUUGAAUGUAAUGAUAAAUAUAAUUAUUUUCUGAAAUAGAUGCAUCUUUGAGGUUUCAUGUAGACACAUAUUUUUAGAUGUAUGUGCUACUGCACAUUAUGGUAAUGGUAUUAUUGAAUCUCGAAUUCAUUUGUUUUGUGUUAUGCUGUGUUAUGCUCUAAACCCUUGGUGUUAGUUCUAAGCAUGUGAAACCACAUUUUGGAAUUAUAUAUGCAAUGUCAACUAAUGAUAACUGUGGUAGAUUCUAUAAAUUGUAACCUUGGUUUGAGUCUUUACUAUUCAUUCAAUAAUUUGUAUUGUUGUUUGUUUGUGUGAAGUGGACAAUUUGAAUUUCAAUGUUAGUUUUGUUGAAAAACAGUAUUUUCUGUAUUUAGUUUUAGCCUUGUGUUAGUUUUUAAAGUCUGUAUUUUCCAUGUACACAUUUCUUGCAUUUUAGUUGGUAGUCUGGUAAUUUUUCGUUCAUUAUUCAUAAUCGACUUUUGUAUCUUACGUCUUGGAAUAGUUAGCAACUUAGCAUGGUAAACUGAUUCAAUUUGAACGUAUGUCCAUCUUAAAUUAAGGCCAGGGUACUAUAUAUGUACUAAUGUCUAUGAUUGAUUAUGAGUAUGCAUGGAGGAUGUAGAUAUGACUUGAAAUAUUUUAAUCUCUCGUUGUUCUCUUCCCAAAGUUUCUCUCCAAGAAGAUGAUUCUCAUUUCUCACCCCAAAAUGAGUCCAAUAUAAUUACUAAGAAGUCUUCUUAAGAAAUAUACCGUUUGAUUGUAGAUUAUGACUGUAGUUUCCUAGAAUCUUGUAAGUAUUCGAUUUGCAUUAUGCUUUAUCUUUGGUGAUUGUUUUGCUGUUUCUAAGUAUAAUAAAUUCUUUCAUGCUAUAAAAUAGAUGCAUCUCGGCAUCUCCUGUAGAUAUGUAUGCUGAACGUAUAUGAUAUUUCUGCACAUUAUGAUAAUAGUAUUAUUGAAUCUCAGCAGUUGUGAGUGUCACUUCACAAGCAAAUGCUCCAAUGUUUACUACUCGUGCAAACACUGUCGUGACUUCUUUCACCUCAAAUGCAUAAUGUCUACGGUAAACAUUUUUAUCAGUCAUAUUGUCUUGUUCCGUUUUAUUUUCAACUUUCAAUGUUUAUGUUGCUUUUGUGUGUGUCAUAAAGGAUGACCGUGAAGCUGCAACAGAAGAGGAUCAAUUAAGAGACAUCUAUCUUAUGUACCUAGAACUAAAUCUCGUGGAGGUGUUGAAAAGUAAGUCUUAGUUUGGUAACGCAACUUUCGUUAUUCUAGUCUUAUAUAUGCAUUAUUAUCAACUUCUUUUCAUUUUAUUCUUAUGUUUGUUUCAACAGAUGAUGACCGAAGACGGUAUUGGUGAACUAAGGAAGGUAAAACUCACAUUCAAAUCUUGGUACACUUUUGAGAAUCCAAAUGUAGACUACACUAAACAAGAGAGCCAAUAUCGUAGGAGCCAUCAAAUCGAGUCUCAUCCAUGUAAUAAUACGGCGUGAAAGCUGAAGACAACAUAGACGAUCUUACGAUGACUUCUCCCAUCGUCUUAGACAAUCUCUUUUUGAUUGAAUGGACCAUACAAUCCAUGUAGUAAAUGAUUGCUUCUCGAUG
rnacentral:lncRNA from 1 species